rnacentral:sRNA from 1 species
AACAACGUGUGUGUGCCCACCCAGGACUGCCCCUGUGCCCACGAGGGGCACCUCUACCCCCCGGGCAGCACUGUGGUUCGUCCAUGUGAAAACUGCUCCUGUGUCUCCGGGCUCAUCGCCAACUGCAGCUCCUGGCCUUGUGCGGAGGGAGCUGGGGGAUGGGGUCCAUGGGGGCCCUGGUCCCACUGUAGCCGGAGCUGUGGGGGAGGCCUGCGGAGCCGGACCCGGGCCUGUGACCAGCCCCCACCCCAGGGCCUCGGGGAUUACUGCGAGGGGCCACGGGCACAGGGGGAGGUCUGCCAGGCUCUGCCCUGCCCAGUGACCAACUGCACCGCCAUUGAAGGGGCCGAGUAUAGCCCCUGUGGCCCUCCGUGCCCUCGCUCCUGUGAUGACC